rnacentral:rRNA from 1 species
GACGAACGCUGGCGGCGUGCUUAACACAUGCAAGUCGAACGGAAAGGCCCUGCUUUUGUGGGGUGCUCGAGUGGCGAACGGGUGAGUAACACGUGAGUAACCUGCCCUUGACUUUGGGAUAACUUCAGGAAACUGGGGCUAAUACCAGAUAGGAGCUCCUGCUGCAUGGUGGGGGUUGGAAAGUUUCGGCGGUUGGGGAUGGACUCGCGGCUUAUCAGCUUGUUGGUGGGGUAGUGGCUUACCAAGGCUUUGACGGGUAGCCGGCCUGAGAGGGUGACCGGCCACAUUGGGACUGAGAUACGGCCCAGACUCCUACGGGAGGCAGCAGUGGGGAAUAUUGCACAAUGGGCGGAAGCCUGAUGCAGCAACGCCGCGUGCGGGAUGACGGCCUUCGGGUUGUAAACCGCUUUCGCCUGUGACGAGGCGUGAGUGACGGUAAUGGGUAAAGAAGCACCGGCUAACUACGUG